rnacentral:lncRNA from 1 species
UAGAAUACUAACAAUGCUCUAAUUAGAGUAUAAUAAUGGUAAACAAACGUAAUCAAAUUCAAAACAACUCAAAGAAAUUUCAAACAAACAAUAAAAUUCUUAAAGAAAUAUUAGAAUGAUCACAAAUUUUACUCAAAUAUAUGUCAAUUCAACCUUAAUUUAAUUCUAGUUAAAACCCUAUUGAUUUUCACUCAAUUUUAGAUCAAACCUGAUUAAAUCUUAAACCCUAAUAAUUCCUAAACCCUAAGUCAAAUCCUAAAUAAAUCUUAAAUUAAACCCUAUUUCAAAUCCUAAAUCCUAAAUCAAAUCCUAAAUCAAAUCCUAAACCAAAUCCUAAUCCAAAUCCUAAAUCCUAAACCAAACCUUAAAUCAAACCCUAACCAAACCCUAAUUCAAAUCCUAAAUCAAAUCCUAACCAAACCCUAAAUAAAAUCCUAACCAAACCCUAGUCCAAA